CAUGCCAUUGUCCCAGUAUUUCUUUAGGGUCGCCAAGUCUCGGUCACUGAAUUGGGUGCGGUCCUGCAAUGCUCUUUUUCUGGAACAACCUGUAAUCCAAGGCACAGUAAGGUUUCCUGAAAUCUGGUAAUUAUUUUGGUUUUGUGACAGCCUCAGUUGAUUUGAAGAUGUAAAAUGAGGAGAAAAGGUAUUUCUUGAUGUAUUAGCACUGUUAUAUAAUGUACUGGAUGUAUGUAAUGAGGUCCGUGCAGGCAAGUGGUAGUCUCUGCUGUGAUACAGCAUACUGUCAGGUACGUCCCUGGCAUUCACCAUCUGAGAACUACAGCUCACAUUUCUUCCUGGCCCAGACAAGGCUGCACUUUGGUUCUCCACUCGAAUAGAACUGCUACUUUCAUAGUAUCUUGAAUAACUUUGUAUUUGUGCUCCCAUGGAUGCUAGUUCUUCUUCUCUAGCGUAUUCAUCAUCCACAUCUCCAGUUUCCAUUGCAAUGGACAGAGAGCUGCCUUCCACCGAGCAAUGCUUCUGUGCUGUACUUCCUCCCACAAUUCUUUGAGGUUGAUCUGUAACUGCCAGAGAAAACACCUCACGGAUUUCCAGGUUUUGCG
rnacentral:lncRNA from 1 species